UACAGAGGGGGCAAGCGUUGUUCGGAAUUACUGGGCGUAAAGGGCGCGUAGGCGGCCCGCUAAGUCGAACGUGAAAUCCCCGAGCUCAACUCGGGAACUGCGUCCGAUACUGGCGGGCUUGAAUCCGGGAGAGGGAUGCGGAAUUCCAGGUGUAGCGGUGAAAUGCGUAGAUAUCUGGAGGAACACCAACGGCGAAGGCAGCACUCUGGGCCGGUACUGGACGCUGAGGAGCGAAAGCGUGGGGAGCGAACAGG
rnacentral:rRNA from 1 species